GAUGAACGCUAGCGGCAGGCUUAAUACAUGCAAGUCGUGGGGCAGCGCAGGUAGCAAUACUGGGCGGCGACCGGCAAACGGGUGCGGAACACGUACACAACCUUCCUACAAGUGGGGAAUAGCCCAGAGAAAUUUGGAUUAAUACCCCGUAACAUAGCGAUGUGGCAUCACAUUGCUAUUAUAGCUUCGGCGCUUGUUGAUGGGUGUGCGGCUGAUUAGAUAGUUGGCGGGGUAACGGCCCACCAAGUCUACGAUCAGUAGCUGAUGUGAGAGCAUGAUCAGCCACACGGGCACUGAGACACGGGCCCGACUCCUACGGGAGGCAGCAGUAAGGAAUAUUGGACAAUGGACGCAAGUCUGAUCCAGCCAUGCCGCGUGAAGGAUUAAGGUCCUCUGGAUUGUAAACUUCUUUUAUAAGGGACGAAAAAAGGUCUUUCUAGAUCGUCUGACGGUACCUUAUGAAUAAGCACCGGCUAACUCCGUGCCAGCCGCCGCAGUAACAC
rnacentral:rRNA from 1 species